UACGUAGGGUGCAAGCGUUGUCCGGAAUUAUUGGGCGUAAGGAGCUUGUAGGCGGUUUGUCGCGUCUGCUGUGAAAUUUCGGGGCUCAACCCCGAACUUGCAGUGGGUACGGGCAGACUAGAGUGUGGUAGGGGAGACUGGAAUUCCUGGUGUAGCGGUGAAAUGCGCAGAUAUCAGGAGGAACACCGGUGGCGAAGGCGGGUCUCUGGGCCGAUACUGACGCUGAGGAGCGAAAGCGUGGGGAGCGAACAGG
rnacentral:rRNA from 1 species